GAUGAACGCUGGCGGCGUGCCUAAUACAUGCAAGUCGAGCGAACAGACGAGGAGCUUGCUCCUUCGACGUUAGCGGCGGACGGGUGAGUAACACGUAGGUAACCUACCUAUAAGACUGGGAUAACUUCGGGAAACCGGAGCUAAUACCGGAUAAUAUUUCGAACCGCAUGGUUCGAUAGUGAAAGAUGGCUUUGCUAUCACUUAUAGAUGGACCUGCGCCGUAUUAGCUAGUUGGUAAGGUAACGGCUUACCAAGGCAACGAUACGUAGCCGACCUGAGAGGGUGAUCGGCCACACUGGAACUGAGACACGGUCCAGACUCCUACGGGGGGCAGCAGUAGGGAAUCUUCCGCAAUGGGCGAAAGCCUGACGGAGCAACGCCGCGUGAGUGAUGAAGGUCUUCGGAUCGUAAAACUCUGUUAUUAGGGAAGAACAAACGUGUAAGUAACUGUGCACGUCUUGACGGUACCGAAUCAGAAAGCCACGGCUAACUACGU
rnacentral:rRNA from 1 species